rnacentral:rRNA from 1 species
UACGAAGGGUGCAAGCGUUAUCCGGAUUCACUGGGUUUAAAGGGUGCGUAGGUGGGCAGGUAAGUCAGUGGUGAAAUCUCCGGGCUUAACCCGGAAACUGCCAUUGAUACUAUCUGUCUUGAAUACCGUGGAGGUGAGCGGAAUAUGUCAUGUAGCGGUGAAAUGCUUAGAUAUGACAUAGAACACCAAUUGCGAAGGCAGCUCACUACACGAAUAUUGACACUGAGGCACGAAAGCGUGGGGAUCAAACAGG